GUGCUUUUGGUUGUUGCUAUAACCGGAGGAAAUGAAAAAAAUGAAAAUCGUGAAUGUUCGUAGGAUCGUUGUUGGUGGUGGUUCACCUUCUUUCUUUUUGUUAAUGCACUUUUCUUUUCCACUUUCACAAUUGCAGAAUGGAGGACUAUAAAUAAGUGAAAAAAGUUGAUUAUACAAAUAUGAAUGAAUCCUAACGAAAAUUCCAGUGUUGCUUUCGAAACACAUAAAGCAAAGAAGUCAUAGAUAGAAGUUAGAAUUUCGCGUACCUUCAAGAAGUUUCUGGCAAGGCAGUUCAAUCGCGAAGGUUGACCGUUGGAUGUAUCAGCGGUGAUGUCGGAAGUUCAACGGUGAUGUCGGAAGUUCA
rnacentral:lncRNA from 1 species